rnacentral:rRNA from 1 species
UACGAAGGGGGCGAGCGUUGUUCGGAUUUACUGGGCGUAAAGCGUGCGCAGGCGGUUUUGUAAGCCAGAUGUGAAAUCCCCGGGCUUAACCUGGGAAUGGCAUUUGUGACUGCAUCGCUGGAGUGCGGCAGAGGGGGAUGGAAUUCCGCGUGUAGCAGUGAAAUGCGUAGAUAUGCGGAGGAACACCGAUGGCGAAGGCAAUCCCCUGGGCCUGCACUGACGCUCAUGCACGAAAGCGUGGGGAGCAAACAGG